rnacentral:rRNA from 1 species
GUCUACAGCCAUGCCACCCUGAACGUGCCUGAUCUCGUCUGAUCCCGGAAGCUAAGCAGGGUCGAGCCUGGUUAGUACUUGGAUGGGAGACCACCUAGGAAUACCAGGUGCUGUAGGCA